UUCUAAUGUCUUCCCUUAAGGUUGCUUGGUGCGGAGGGAUCACCUAUUAGAUGUAUACUGAUUAAGUAACACUCUCCUCGUAUCUGCCUCAGCCAUAAGGAAGCACUGCGCUGGAGAUAGCAUUGAAUAAAGAAAAAGUGCUGCAAAGGAAGGGGACGUAGCUUAGGCUGUAAUUUUUAUCUGCUGUUACGCUGAAAAUGCGUUGCUUGAGCAAAUAAUCUGCAGUUUUCAUGUAAUGUCUUAUGGUUUUGUGGAUUGACAGUGUCAUUAACAUAUUUAGAUCCAAGUUAUUUUUAACGCCAUUAUAUUGCUUUCGACAGGAGAGGAAAAUUUCAUGGGUGUUUCGCUAAUCCAUUGAAAGUUACUCUCAUCGAUAAUAUGUAUAUAUUUGGUUAAA